UGGGGAAUCUUGCACAAUGGAGGGAACUCUGAUGCAGCGACGCCGCGUGAACGAAGAAGGCUUUCGAGUCGUAAAGUUCUUUUAUAUGGGAAGAUAAUGACGGUACCAUAAGAAAAAGCCCCGGCUAACUACGUGCCAGCAGCCGCGGUAAUACGUAGGGGGCUAGCGUUGUCCGGAAUCACUGGGCGUAAAGGGUUCGCAGGCGGAAAUGCAAGUCAGGUGUAAAAGGCAGUAGCUUAACUACUGUAAGCAUUUGAAACUGCAUAUCUUGAGAAGAGUAGAGGUAAGUGGAAUUUUUAGUGUAGCGGUGAAAUGAGUACAUAUUAAAAAGAAUACCGGUGGGGAAGGCGACUUACUGGGCUCAUUCUGACGCUGAGGAACGAAAGCGUGGGUAGCAAACAGG
rnacentral:rRNA from 1 species